UGAAGUUAAAGNCAUUGGCUCAACCAAUGUAUGCUUUGGAAACUGUUAGACUUGAGUGCAGAAGGGGAGAGUGGAAUUCCAUGUGUAGCGGUGAAAUGCGUAGAUAUAUGGAGGAACACCGGUGGCGAAAGCGGCUCUCUGGUCUGUCACUGACGCUGAGGCUNGAAAGCGUGGGUAGCGAACAGGAUUAGAUACCCUGGUAGUNCACGCCGUAAACGCUGAGUGCUAGGUGUUAGGUCCUNUCCGGGACUUAGUGCCGACGCUAACGCAUUAAGCACUCCGCCUGGGGAGUACGACCGCAAGGUUGAAACUCAAAGGAAUUGACGGGGGCCCGCACAAGCGGUGGAGCAUGUGGUUUAAUUCGAAGCAACGCGAAGAACCUUACCAGGUCUUGACAUCCCGAUGCCCGCUCUAGAGAUAGAGUUUUUCUUCGGAACAUCGGAGACAGGUGGUGCAUGGUUGUCGUCAGCUCGUGUCGUGAGAUGUUGGGUUAAGUCCCGCAACGAGCGCAACCCUUAUUGUUAGUUGCCAUCAUUAAGUUGGGCACUCUAGCGAGACUGCCGGUAAUAAACCGGAGGAAGGUGGGGAUGACGUCAAAUCAUCAUGCCCCUUAUGACCUGGGCUACACACGUGCUACAAUGGUUGGUACAACGAGUCGCAAGCCGGUGACGGCAAGCUAAUCUCUGAAAGCCAAUCUCAGUUCGGAUUGUAGGCUGCAACUCGCCUACAUGAAGUCG
rnacentral:rRNA from 1 species